rnacentral:lncRNA from 1 species
GGCCUGUUUUCUUUUCCAGGAAUUGCUUGCUGAAUUUAGACAAGAAUUGGAUGCUGCAAAAAGAGAAAUAAUUGAAGCUGUGAGACAAGAAAUCUCACGACUUCGGUGAAUGAUUCUGGAGACAGUCCUCUUAAGAUGUAAUUAAAUCAAGGGUGAACCUGUGAUUAAUGGAAUGAAAUAAGAUUUUUAUUCCUCAUUGUGACAUCGUAAAAAAUGUCAAGGACAAAACUGUGAGCAAACUCCAGACAGUUGACUUAAUAUCAAGUAGAAAAUUUAUGCUUCAUCAUAGAAAUAAUUAUCUGACAUAAUUUCCUUGGGAAGUGCCUGUAAUGAAGGACAAUAAAAGCAAUGGUGCCUCAUUAAACACUUGGUAAAUAAUUAACAUGUAUGUUAAUGCGACAAGGUGAUUAACACUUAGAUUAUAAAUGUAGACCAUCGGGAGUGAAAGCAAAAUAUCUUUGUACAGGUUAAUGCGAGCUGGGAUUUCUUUUGAUGUACUUUGUGUUAUUAUUAUUAUUUUUUUAAUAUUAUUUUCAAGUGUGAGGCAUUGGACUUUUUUAUGCAUUUAGAUCACAAGUAAUGUGAAAAGAGGAUGAAUAAUAAUUCCACUAACACUUGAAAUUCAUGAGCAGAGAAGUUCACUUGGACAUGCAUCUUCAGGCCUUCCAAUGUUCAUUUUACAUGAUCUUAUUGUUUCAUGGACCCCAGUAUUUUCAACAGAUUUGUUUGCUGUCAUGUGAACAGAUCCUACAGAUACAACUGAUCUUGUAAUAGGAAGUUUUUAAAUUUAAAUUAAAGGCUAGUCUGUUGUACCUGAAGAACUCAGUCACGCAAGAUCUACUUAUAAAAAAAAAAUUUCUUAGCUUUAUAUUCACAUGAAAGCAUAGACGUGUUUAAAAGCUGUUUAGUUAAAACAUGGUUAAAAUGUUUUGAGCGUGAGAUUACUAGAACAGGAGGAGAUAAAAUAGACUGGAACUACUUGAACUGGGCUGCUUCAAAUAAAAUUAACCACAGUGUUGUCGGGUAAAUGGUUCAAUGCUUACAAAUGUACUCACAAAUUGAUUUCUUGAAGUGGUUUAAUUUCCUAGCUAUAUCAGUAUUCAUGUGUGCGGUGCACACCAUGACAAAUGCAGCUGGAGUAAAGAUAAACGAACGUCACACAACAACAACCUCUGGUGGUAACAGUGUCAUUUAUUGAGAGAAUGAAGGAUGGCAAAAUUUUUUACACAUGGACCAAUAACCAGGGUUGAAGCAUGCAGACUAUAAAUCAAUGUUAUUUGUUAAUUAAGUGAGCAACAUAAGCAAAUCAUAAUAAAGUAUGUUACAGACUUCUCAUACACCUCAUUACAAAAUGGCGACCAAUUUAUUGUUCUUUUGUUUGCAUUCUAAUUAGCCCUUUUGCCUCGUUUUCACUUCAAAGUUUUUUUGUAUUUUGUACGUGUUGAUGAGGCAAAGAGGGCUAAUUAACAUGAAAACAAAAGAAUAAUAAAUUGGCUGCCAUUUUGGAAUAAGGUGUAUUCAAGAAACUUCGUACCUUUUUUAGGUUUUGAGUGGUGGAUUUCAAUCCUAAACUUCAAGCAGUUAAAGAAGUUAAUGUUGUAAUAAUCUCAAUUAGGUCUGGUUAUUUCCUGCCAAAGAUGGAUCUGUAAAGUAUUCAGUGAAUUUGAGUAAAACAGACCUGUAAUUUCCUUCACUUGGUUUCAAAUUGUAUUUUUUUUUUUUUUACAAAGCAUAUUGUUUGGAUGUUUUCUCAGCAUAGGUCUGUUUAUGAAUAAGACUGCCAUCUCUGUUAUUUCUGUUUUUUUGUUGUUGUUGUUGUCUUUCAAGUUGCCCAGUUCAAGUAACUAGUCACAGCUUAAAAACCUAAGGGCCAAACUUUCCAGAAGCUGUAAGACUUGCGUUGGAUUAUAAGUUACAUGUAACUGAAGGUUUAUAACAUAACAAAACAAUAUUAUGAAAGUAACAGUUGAGUGACAAAUAAAACUUUGUACAAUAACUGAUAAGACUGUACUUGAAAUAGGACUGGGUGGGGGUGGCUGUUGUUAAAUGGGCAAGUUAGAUGAAUAUAGUCAUUGACAAAAGUUUUCUCAGCAACUGUUGCCUCUUGUAAAUGUUCAAGAUUUACUGGGUUUGUAAUAUUCAUUAUUACUUACCAAAAAAACUCAUACAAAUGUGGCAGCAUUGGUAAGAGGGAGGUUUACAGAGUGAUACAUUGCCUUGAGAUAGCAAAAUGUAGUAACAAUAUGACACUUGGGCUGUGAGAGUAAGAGAGUUUCUUAUUUGCAUGGAAUGCCACUAUUGGACUAUGUUAGUGUUGGUUAAGGCAGAUGGAGAUUUUGAACCCAUAAAUAGUUUCUAUUUUUACUUACUUAGUAUUUGUCAGAAAGGCUUGCACUUUUUGUCUUAUACACUGUAUGUAGUAACAUCUAAUGGUUAAAAAGAAUGUAAGUGGUUUAGGAGAGGACAGAUUCAGGUGCAGUUUCAGCUCCUCAAUGUUCUGUUUUCACACCAGAAGCCACUCCCAACCUAGCUCUCCACUGUGAGUUAUUCGUCAUAAUGAGGGACUAUAAAUUUGCCUAAGCUUCAGCCUCUGUCUGACAUUUUCUUAAGUGUGACAAUCAUUAGUGUGUUGUUGUCCUGUUCAGUUUGUUUCGAUGUGAUUGUUAUGUAGGAUCAAUAAUUAUAGAGUUCUUUAUUGUUUCCAGUCCAUGAGAAUGUUAUUUUUGAUUUAUUUUCCUAUGUAGUUAACCAAAUGUAUGAGCUGUUGUAGUUUACAUGUUGUAAUUGAGUGCUUCCCCCCCCCUGCCCCCUCGGUCUCCAUAUAGUUACAUUGCACUUGUUGGGGGAAUUUUGAAUUAUGAUCCCAACAGCAUGUUUAUCCAGAGUUGUUUUAGUUCACCUGCACACCUGAGGGCCUGGGAAAGCUGUGUCACUUAUUGGGCAGUCUUUGUUGACAUUAUAAUUUGCGUCUUAAUUUUGAAAUGUUGCCUUUUACUUUCAAGUAUGCACAACAAGCUAGCAUGACUAAGAAUGAAAAUAUGAAUUUAAUGAUGAAAUUCCAGAUUUGCAAGGGAAUGAUUGGAAUGCUUGUUUUGGCAUAAUGCAUCCAUAAUUUGUUGUUCCAGAGACUAUUCCUACCCACCCCAAGGAGGGUUAUUGGAAAUUGCAAGGGAGAGGUGGGGGGCUAACAACCAAAAUUUUAAAGGAACGGGAAUUUCCAGAGAGACUGGGGGCAGGAGCGGAUCCAGGAUCAUUCUUAAGAGGGGGUGCACCACUAAGGCUGGCGGAACUGACUCUUAUCUCAGGUAGGGGAGUGCACCCCCUGCACUCUCCACCUAGAUCUGUGCCUGGGGGGUGGGGUUGGGGGUGAGGGAGGUUGGUCAAACUAAACGUACCCUUCAUGGCAGGGGUAUGGAUAAUUUUUGGAACAACACAAUUGGCAUGCUAAUUAGGAUAUGAAAGACCCCUGAUGUAGCCAAAGAUUGCACUAUAAUUUGAUCUCCAAGCACAAAUGAGACUUAUGGGUCUCAAUGGUGUUGGUUUUAAUGUUACAUUACAAGUUCUCCUUUCUUGUCUCCAUACAUUUCGUACAGUACUAGUUAGAAGAAUUAAUAAAGUAAUCGAGACAACUUUCCCUGCGGUGAUGAUAUCCCUUACUUGUUUGAUCAAGUGCGUAACGUUUUAGUCACUUUUCAUAACAAAUCAACUUUUGGUUACGUACGUUCCACAGUACUUUGAGGGAAUUAUUUUUGUGUUCAACAACACUAUA